rnacentral:rRNA from 1 species
UAAAAGCCAUCCCAGUUCGGAUCGCAGGCUGCAACCCGCCUGCGUGAAGUUGGAAUCGCUAGUAAUCGCGGAUCAGCAUGCCGCGGUGAAUACGUUCCCGGGCCUUGUACACACCGCCCGUCACACCAUGAGAGUCGGGAACACCCGAAGUCCGUAGCCUAACCGCAAGGGGGGCGCGGCCGAAGGUGGGUUCGAUAAUUGGGGUGAAGUCGUAACAAGGUAAC